AUGCAAAGUAAACUUGAAGGACACACACAAGAAGCAGAAAAUCAAGGAGCCAUGUACGCGACCAAGCCGCUCUCUCUCUUCAUGAGCCACCCGGAGGCGGCUUCCCGGCCGCCGCCCGACGGCCGGAACUCGGGCUACCUCGUCGUCAAGGGCAACGACGACGGGGACGACGACGAGACGUGCUGCUGGGGGCAGUGCGGCGGGACGCGCGUGCGCGACCUCCCGUUCCCGCAGGACCGCGUGCUCACGCUCCGGUACACGGAACACCACGGGCAGAGCAGCACCACCUACACCGACUCCGUCGUCUUCGUGCCCGUCCCCGACCAGCCCGUCGCUUCCAACCGCUACUACGCCGUCGUCGCCUCGGGCAAGCGCAAGGGGCUCGUCCGGACCUGCUCCCGCGAGGAGGACAUGACCCCGUGCUGCUUCUGCCGCUGCAUCAACGACGUCAAGCCGCAGCCGUUCGACCCGGCCGACGUCUACCAGCAGAUCGAGAUCGUCCAGCGCCGCCGGGGCCGGUUCACGGCCAAGGCCGUCGCCGCCGACGGCUACCCAAACUACCUCUACCGCAAGAAGUAUUGGCGCGUGUACGCCUCCAAGCCCAAGAACCGGCUCGACCUCGGCGACGCGCUGGGCCUCGACGUGGCGCACCGCUCGCGCCAGCUCGCCGACGCGAACCUCCUCGACGUCUCCCCCGCGGCGACGGCGGUGUCAACGGCUGUCGGGAAAUGGUACUGCCCGUUCUAUCUCAUCAAAGAAGACGGCGUCUCCCCGUCCGAGCAGAUGGACCGCGCCGCCUUCUACGAGGUGGCGCUCGAGCAGCGCUGGGAGCCGGUCCACGACACCCACGGCGGCUCUAAGCUGUACAGCAGGAAGGUGCUCAUCGGCGGGAGCCUGGAGGCGACGCAGGAGGUGUCCAGCGGCGCCCCGCGGCACGGUGACGGGUACGUGUGGUUCAGAGCCGCGGCCGGGCAGAGCGUGGGGGUGUGCGCGAGCGUGUGGGAGAGGAUGCGGUGGGAGGAGUACAGGGGCGGGUGGGUCGACGAGGAGGAGGAGGCCGAGAAGGUGGCCGGCCGGUCGGUGCUGGUGGAGAGGUUCGUCGUCAAAAGGAUGGACAGGACCGUCGUGGUGGCCUUUGACUUUGUGCACCUCAACAAGGUCAGGGGGAAGCAGGCGUGA
rnacentral:rRNA from 1 species